AGGAACUGUGCCCUCCGAGAAUCCGGACGGGGAAUUACCCUCCCUCCAAAGGUGCACCUGCGCACCUGCACGCGCCCUGCGUCCGUGUCCCAGGAAGGCCGGUGAGGAAGCCCUGCUGCACAGAGCAGCGUGUCGGAGUCAGGACCUGCAGGGCCCUCCCUCGCCCACCCCGGCCUUCCCAAGCCCCUCCCGGCUCCCUCCACCCCGUUUCCCUCUAUCUGGGUCAGCAGCUCGGCAGGUGCUUCCCCGAGCAGCGCGCAGUCCGCAGCCGGGAAAAGUGGCCCAAGUUCCGCUCUCCUCCAUCUCAAGGAUGGGCACAGAGGGGGAAGCCUAACUAAAAACAGGAAACUAAAAAAUAUUUUAAAGCCUCAUUCAGGCUGAAUUACGGAGCGAGCGAGCGAGCGAGCGAGCGAAUAAAGUCCUGAGCCCACAGAGCGCCACAUUCACCCGGCACAGCACUGCACCCGGGAGGACGCUAGAGGGGUGACCGCGGGCCAGCUUGAUCUUCGAAGAAAAAGAAAAAAAAAAAAAGCAGCAGUCAAAAGGCUUACAUCGAAGGCGCCCCCUGUGGGUGGAAGCAGUACUUGCAUAAACCCAAAG
rnacentral:lncRNA from 1 species